AGUGAAUAGAUACCCUGGUAGUCCACGCCGUAAACGAUGAUUACUCGCUGUUGGCGAUACACAGUCAGCGGCUAAAGCAAAAGCAAUAAGUAAUCCACCUGGGGAGUACGGCCGCAAGGUUGAAACUCAAAGGAAUUGACGGGGGCCGGCACAAGCGGAGGAACGAUGUGGUUUAAUUUACGAUGAUACGCGAGGAACCGUUACCUGGGCGAUAAAAUAGUAGAGUGCAUGAGGUGGAAACGACUUCUUUCCUUCGGGUACGUCUUUGUCAAGGUAGCUGCAUGGUUGUCGUCAGCUCGUGCCGU
rnacentral:rRNA from 1 species